AUCAUAGCGGAGGAAAAGAAACUAACAAGGAUUCCCCUAGUAACUGCGAGUGAAGCGGGAAAAGCUCAAAUUUAAAAUCUGGCGGUCCUUGCGGCCGUCCGAGUUGUAAUCUGGAGAAGUGCUUUCCGCGCUGGACCGUGUACAAGUCUCUUGGAACAGAGCGUCGUAGAGGGUGAGAAUCCCGUCUUUGACACGGACUACCAGUGCUUUGUGAUGCGCUCUCAAAGAGUCGAGUUGUUUGGGAAUGCAGCUCAAAAUGGGUGGUAAAUUCCAUCUAAAGCUAAAUAUUGGCGAGAGACCGAUAGCGAACAAGUACCGUGAGGGAAAGAUGAAAAGAACUUUGGAAAGAGAGUUAAACAGUACGUGAAAUUGCUGAAAGGGAAACGCUUGAAGUCAGUCGCGUUGGCCGGGACUCAGCCUUGCUUCCGCUUGGUUUAUUUUCUGGUCGACGGGUCAGCAUCAGUUUUGAUCGUCGGACAAUGGCUGGGGGAAUGUGGCAUCUUCGGAUGUGUUAUAGCCCUCGGUCGCAUACGAUGGUUGGGACUGAGGAUCUCAGCACACCUUUAUGGUCGGGGUUCGCCCACGUUUGUGCUUAGGAUGCUGGCAUAAUGGCUUUAAACGACCCGUCUUGAAACACGGACCAAGGAGUCUAACAUGCAUGCGAGUGUUUGGGUGGAAAACCCGAGCGCGUAAUGAAAGUGAAAGUUGAGACCUCUGUCGUGGAGGGCAUCGACGCCCGGACCAGACCUUCUGUGACGGCCCUGCGGUAGAGCAUGUAUGUUGGGACCCGAAAGAUGGUGAACUAUGCCUGAAUAGGGUGAAGCCAGAGGAAACUCUGGUGGAGGCUCGUAGCGAUUCUGACGUGCAAAUCGAUCGUCAAAUUUGGGUAUAGGGGCGAAAGACUAAUCGACCACUUUAACUGGAUCUGCA
rnacentral:rRNA from 1 species